rnacentral:rRNA from 1 species
CGAACGACUCUCGGCAACGGAUAUCUCGGCCCUCGCAUCGAUGAAGAACGUAGCAAAAUGCGAUACGUGGUGUGAAUUGCAGAAUCCCGCGAACCAUUGAGUCUUUGAACGCAAGUUGCGCCCGAGGCUUUCCCGCCGAGGGCACGCCUGCCUGGGCGUCACGA